CUUUGGCUUCUUUACAGUGCUGCCUUGUUGCAUAUGGAUCAAGCAGCAUUGUACAGGGCUAUGAAGACA
ensembl:miRNA MIR103A1 microRNA 103a-1